AAUAUCAAUAUAUCAAUGAAUGCAUAUUAAUGCAUAUCAAUAAGGUAGACAUGUAAACAAUGCUGGUCAAUGCAUAUCAGAAAAGUAUAUCAAUUAUAUUAAAUUGUAUCAAUUGUAUUUAAUAGGUUUUCCANNNNNNNNNNNNNAGGCAUUAAAUUGUAUUUAAUAUAGGUUUUCCAAUAUAGGCUAUGGAUUAAUUCCUUACUACUCCUUUGUUUCCUUCAGAAAAAUAUUAAUUAAAGAAAACGAAAAAAAAAUUGAUUUUUUUUUUAUUUUAUUUUAAAAUUUUCAAAAGAUUCCGAACCGGCCGGUUUUUUCAAACCGCCCCCGGUUCACCGGUUCGAACGGUUCCGGACGGUUCGUACCGGUUUCAAGCGGUUUUUUUCCGGUUCUGCAGACUACCGGUUCUCAACACUAGCCCGGACCGCUGCUGUGUCCGG
rnacentral:lncRNA from 1 species